GUAGGGUGCGAGCGUUAAUCGGAAUUACUGGGCGUAAAGUGUGCGCAGGCGGCCCCGCAAGUCGAGUGUGAAAUCCCCGAGCUUAACUUGGGAAUGGCGCUCGAAACUACGGGGCUCGAGCGUGGCAGAGGGAGGUGGAAUUCCACGCGUAGCGGUGAAAUGCGUAGAGAUGUGGAGGAACACCAAUGGCGAAGGCAGCCUCCUGGGUCAACACUGACGCUCAUGCACGAAAGCGUGGGGAGCAAACAGGAUUAGAUACCCUGGUAGUCCACGCCCUAAACGAUGAUGACUAGUUGUUGGAGGAGUUAAAUCCUUUAGUAACGCAGCUAACGCGAGAAGUCAUCCGCCUGGGGAGUACGGUCGCAAGAUUA
rnacentral:rRNA from 1 species